rnacentral:rRNA from 1 species
AGCGGCGGACGGGUGAGUAACACGUGGGUAACCUGCCUCAUAGAGGGGAAUAGCCUUUCGAAAGGAAGAUUAAUACCGCAUAAGAUUGUAGUGCCGCAUGGCAUAGCAAUUAAAGGAGUAAUCCGCUAUGAGAUGGACCCGCGUCGCAUUAGCUAGUUGGUGAGGUAACGGCUCACCAAGGCGACGAUGCGUAGCCGACCUGAGAGGGUGAUCGGCCACAUUGGGACUGAGACACGGCCCAG